GACGAACGCUGGCGGCGUGCCUAAUACAUGCAAGUCGAACGCAGUGGGGACGGGUGAGUAACAAGUGGGUAACCUCCCAUCAGAGGGGAUAACCCUUGGAAACAGGUGCUAAACCGAUACUGCAUGAUGGACCCGCGGUGGAUUAGCUAGUUGGUGGGGUAACGGCUCACCAAGGCCACGAUGCAUAGCCGGUCUGAGAGGGGGAUCGGCCACACUGGAACUGAGAAACGGCCCAGACUCCUACGGGAGGCAGCAGUAGGGAAUCUUCGGCAAUGGACGAAAGUCUGACCGAGCAACGCCGCGUGAGUGAAGAAGGUUUUCGGAUCGUAAAACUCUUUUGUGGGAGAAGCGUUAUCCAACCAGAAAGCCACGGCUAACUACGUGCCAGCCGCCGCGGUAAUUC
rnacentral:rRNA from 1 species